GGAGAAGCAGAGGAGAUGGCUGCUGAGUCAUAUCCAGGGCCCAGUACUCAGGAAAUUUGCUGAAGUCUUACCGUUGAAAGAGAAGAUAAGAGGACAUGACUGCACCUCACUCUUUGUGCCUGUUAGAGCCCCAGCUCAGGAUCCAACAUAUCAGAGGAGGACUCCAGGAAGUCAUUCUACCACCUCUGCCUCCCUGCUGACGAAUCCGAUAUUUGGUUGAACAUUCCUACUUCAAAAUUCCAAAAUCUGAAGCAGUCCAAAAUCUGAAACUUUUGGGGCACUGACAUGAAGCCACAAAUAGAAAAUUCCACAUGUAAGUACUCAACACAAGCUUUGUUUCAUAUGCAAAAUUAUUGAAAAUGUUUCAUAAAAUUACUCCUUCAUCCUAUGUGUAUACGGUGUGUAUGAAACACAAGUGAAUUUCCUUUACUGUUUUUGUACUCACAAACCCUCCCUUCCACUCCAAGCCCUGUAAGCAUCUGCAAUCUUGGCUAGUUUGCUGCUUCCGAGGUGCCUGGGGGUUCAUGCAUUUUAGACUUUGUGUGCUCCGGGGACUAGACAUGAUUUCAAAGUGCUGCUGACUUGGGUCCCAAUCCCCAAAAUAUCUCAUUAUGUAUAUGCGAAUAUUCCAAAAUCUGAAACAGUCUGGUCCCAAAUACUUCGGAUAUGGGAUACUGAUCUCUCUAAUGAAUGUAGAGUGGCAGUGAUGGCUGCUGAGAAAAGCAGCAAGGCAGAAAAAAAGGGGGAGAGGCUGCCAUUUUAGAUGGAGGGGAAAGAGGCCCCCUCUCCUCCAGGCUACACAGACCAUCCCUAACAUCCCUUGCACCUCAAUCAAGGGCCUACCAUGUGCCAGACUUUUAAAGGGUCUUGGAGGCCCCAGGCAGCGUGUGAUGGGCCACGGUCUGUGAAGGUGUGCCCCGCAUUGAGGAGGAGCCGGGCAUCUGAACCGCGAAGCACAGCCAGGCCUGCCAGGCAGGUGUGCCAUGUGGACUGGGAGCCGUGGCCAACAGCUGCCAGGUGGAGCCAGGCUUGUGCCAGGGACUGCGGUCAACAGAAGCAGCUGCCCUCCAGUGUUUACUGAGCAUUUAUUUUCUCUCCUUCUUUCUUCUUUCCCCUUUUCAGCCCAUCUUUCCUAGCCUUACCCCUUCUCCUUUCUUCCCUCUCUUCUCCCUCACUCCUUACCUCCCAUCCACCCACCUAUCCAGUGUUUAUUGAAGGCCUACUAUGUACCAGACACGGUGUCAAGCCCUAGGGACACUGUGGUGAAUAAAAUGCUCCUGUCCUCAAGGAAUGUUAUGGUCCAUUUGGAAGGACCCAUAAAUAAAUCUGUAAUGUCUGCUGAGAAA
ensembl:lncRNA novel transcript